UCUCUCUGUCUCUCUCUCCCUUGUUGAAUGCAGGCCCCAGAGCCUCCUCAUGAAUAUGCUGCGGGAAUGUUGCAGUCUACCAACCGUCCAGGAGAAGCUGGCCUGUGGUGUCGAAAAGUUAGCAAAGUUUCCUAAUCAAGCUUGCACCGAAGACUCCAGCAAGUGGAACGAUGCUCUGAGCUGCUGUUCCGAGGACACCCAGAAUUGCUUCAACACCUGCUACCUGGCUCAGGUGAGGGUCUACCUCCAGGUAGCGUGAAGACAGAGCCAGCGAGAGGCCGUGGGAGCUGGCGUUACCUUGCACUAAACGUUAUUCCCUUCACCCUGUAUCUGUACACUGUGGACGGCCCGAUUGUAGUCAUGUAAUUCACUGACUGGAUAGCACGCAACAAAACGCUUCCACCUGUACCUCGGUACACACGACAAUCAAAAACUCAAUAAAAUCCGCCCAGUUACUCC